UGACCACUUCCAAAGACGGGAGUUAAGCCCAUACGGACAGGCGGGUCAGUUGCCGA
rnacentral:sRNA from 1 species